rnacentral:rRNA from 1 species
UACGUAGGGUGCGAGCGUUGUCCGGAAUUAUUGGGCGUAAAGGGCUCGUAGGCGGUCUGUCACGUCGGGGAGUGAAAACACGGGGCUUAACCCCGUGCCUGCUUCCGAUACGGGCAGACUAGAGGUAUGCAGGGGAGAACGGAAUUCCUGGUGUAGCGGUGAAAUGCGCAGAUAUCAGGAAGAACACCUAUGGCGAAGGCAGCUCUCUGGGACGGUACUGACGCUGAGACGCGAAAAGCGUGGGGAGCGAACAGG